rnacentral:rRNA from 1 species
CCUACGGUGGGCAGCAGUGAGGAAUAUUGGUCAAUGGGCGAAAGCCUGAUGGAGCAACGCCGCGUGGGUGAAGAAGGUCUUCGGAUCGUAAAACCCUGUUGUAAGAGAAGAAAGUGCGAGAGAGUAACUGUUCACGUUUCGACGGUAUCUAACCAGAAAGCCACGGCUAACUACGUGCCAGCAGCCGCGGUAAUACGUAGGUGGCAAGCGUUAUCCGGAUUUAUUGGGCGUAAAGGGAACGCAGGCGGUCUUUAAAGUCUGAUGUGAAAGCCUUGGGCUUAACUGGAGUAGUGCAUUGGAAACGGGGAGACUUGAGUGCAGAAGAGGAGAGUGGAACUCCAUGUGUAGCGGUGAAAUGCGUAGAUAUAUGGAAGAACACCAGUGGCGAAAGCGGCUCUCUGGUCUGUAACUGACGCUGAGGUUCGAAAGCGUGGGUAGCAAACAGGAUUAGAUACCCCAGUAGUC